UCCCUACUCUUUUCUUUUGAUAGGAGAGUUUUUAAAACCAGUGUUAUUUUUGUAAGUUUAAGAGAAGUUUGUGUAUUGAAUUUUUUAUUUUUAAUAUUAAAGAGCUUUGUUAAACUUAGACUUAAGUUUAGGUCAUUUUGGGGGUUUAGCUCAGUUGGCUAGAGCAUCGGCUUUGCAAGCCGAGGGUCAAGGGUUCGAGUCCCUUAACCUCCAUUGGGCUUAUGUCCUAAAUCGUAAUUAAGUAUGUUUUUAAGUAACUUUGUUAAAGUAAUUGUUGGAAYGUGAAACAGAGGAAGUUAAAAUUUCUGGGUUAAGUUGAGAUCUGUUGAUAUUAAGAAGWAUCUMUAGAAGCAAAAGCWAGCUUUCGAUAAAACCCGAAGUUGUUUCGCUAAAGUGCAAGGAUUAAACAGGAUUGUAUUUUCCAGUAGCCUAUUUUAUAAAYGAUCUGCAUUUAGUAAAUAGUUUUUAGUUAAGAAAUAAUGUAGAUUGSUAAGUGUGAUGCCUGAAAGAAGGACAAGUAUKGUAGC
rnacentral:misc_RNA from 1 species